UACGUAGGUGGCAAGCGUUGUCCGGAAUUAUUGGGCGUAAAGCGCGCGCAGGCGGUCCUUUAAGUCUGAUGUGAAAGCCCACGGCUCAACCGUGGAGGGUCAUUGGAAACUGGGGGACUUGAGUACAGAAGAGAAGAGUGGAAUUCCACGUGUAGCGGUGAAAUGCGUAGAGAUGUGCAGGAACACCAGUGGCGAAGGCGACUCUUUGGUCUGUAACUGACGCUGAGGCGCGAAAGCGUGGGGAGCAAACAGG
rnacentral:rRNA from 1 species